rnacentral:rRNA from 1 species
UGGGGAAUCUUGCACAAUGGGCGAAAGCCUGAUGCAGCAACGCCGCGUGCGGGAAGACAGCCCUAGGGUUGUAAACCGCUUUCAGCAGGGAAGAAACUGACGGUACCUGCAGAAGAAGAUGCGGCCAACUACGUGCCAGCAGCCGCGGUGACACGUAGGCAUCAAGCGUUAUCCGGAUUUAUUGGGCGUAAAGAGCUCGUAGGCGGUUCGGUAAGUCGGGUGUGAAACUCUGGGCUCAACCCAGAGAGGCCACUCGAUACUGCUGUGACUAGAGUGCGGUAGGGGAGCGGGGAAUUCCUGGUGUAGCGGUGAAAUGCGCAGAUAUCAGGAGGAACACCAGUGGCGAAGGCGCCGCUCUGGGCCGUAACUGACGCUGAGGAGCGAAAGCAUGGGUAGCAAACAGGAUUAGAUACCCUGGUAGUCCACACCGUAAACGAUGAAUGCCAGUCGUCGGGUAGCAUGCUA